rnacentral:tRNA from 1 species
GGCCUUGUAGUGGAAUACACACCGGGAUGCAAGCUCGGAGAUGCACCUCUGGGUGCCAGGGUCU